rnacentral:rRNA from 1 species
UGGGGAAUAUUGGACAAUGGGGGAAACCCUGAUCCAGCCAUGCCGCGUGUGUGAUGAAGGCCUUCGGGUUGUAAAGCACUUUCGCACGUGACGAUGAUGACGGUAACGUGAGAAGAAGCCCCGGCUAACUUCGUGCCAGCAGCCGCGGUAAUACGAAGGGGGCAAGCGUUGUUCGGAAUUACUGGGCGUAAAGGGUGCGUAGGCGGUGCGUUAAGUUAGAUGUGAAAGCCCUGGGCUCAACCCGGGAAUUGCAUUUGAUACUGGCGCGCUCGAAUCCAGGAGAGGUUGGUGGAAUUCCCAGUGUAGAGGUGAAAUUCGUAGAGAUUGGGAAGAACACCGGUGGCGAAGGCGGCCAACUGGACUGGUAUUGACGCUGAGGCACGAAAGCGUGGGGAGCAAACAGG